rnacentral:misc_RNA from 1 species
UUAAGUUCAGCGGGUUUUCCUACCCGAUUUGAGACCAAGUUAACAAGGACUGCGACCUGACGGCCACAUUCCGAGCGUACAAUCAGUUAUGAUUCUUAACACGGCAUGCACGACGCGUUAGAAGCAAGCCACGAGUGGUACAGAGAUAAACCAAAAGGUUCAGUUCCAGCACUCAGGCCAACGCUUCCACAUACGGCGGA